UCCUGGCUCAGAAUGAACGCUGGCGGCAUGGAUUAGGCAUGCAAGUCGAACGUACUCCCUUCGGGGAGAAAGUGGCGAAAGGGUGAGUAACACGUGAGCAACCUGCCUCCGGAUCCGGAAUAAUCCAGGGAAACUUGGUCUAAAACCGAAUGAAGACAUUGGUCCGCAUGGUCUAAUGUUAAAAUAUUUAUAGUCCGGAGAGGGGCUCGCGGCCCAUUAGCUUGUUGGCGGGGUAAUGGCCCACCAAGGCUACGACGGGUAGGUGGUCUGAGAGGAUGGUCACCCACACUGGGACUGAGACACUGCCCAGACUCCUACGGGAGGCUGCAGUCGAGAAUCUUCCGCAAUGGGCGCAAGCCCUGACGGAGCGAUGCCGCGUGAGGGAUGAAGGCCUUCGGGUUGUAAACCUCUGUCAUCCGGGACGAAAACAAUGACGGUACCGGAAAAGGAAGCCACGGCUAACCACGUGCCAGCCGCCGC
rnacentral:rRNA from 1 species